AACGAACGCUGGCGGCAGGCUUAACACAUGCAAGUCGAACGCAUGCCUUCGGGCAUGAGUGGCAGACGGGUGGGUAACGCGUGGGAACCUACCCCUUGGUACGGGAUAGCUCCGUGAAACUGGAGAUAAUACCGUAUGUGUCCUGAGGGACAAAGAUUCAUCGCCAAGGGAUGGGCCCGCGUCGGAUUAGCUAGUUGGUGGGGUAACGGCCUACCAAGGCGACGAUCCGUAGCUGGUCUAUGAGGAUGAUCAGCCACAUUGGGACUGAGACACGGCCCAAACUCCUACGGGAGGGAGCAGAGGGGGAUAUUGGACAAUGGGCGCAAGCCUGAUCCAGCCCUGCCGGGUGAGUGAUGAAGGCGCUAGGGUUGUAAAGCUCUUUAACCGGUGACGAUAAUGACGGUAACCGGAGAAGAAGCCCCGGCUAACUUCGUG
rnacentral:rRNA from 1 species